AAAUGAAUAGACGGGGACCCACACAAGCGGUGGAGCAUGGGGUUUAAUUCGAUAGUAAGCGGAGAACCUCACCUAGGCUUGACAUCUAGCGAACCUCCCAGAAACGGGAGGGUGCCGCAAGGAACGCUAAGACAGGCGCUGCACGGUUGUCGUCAGCUCGUGCCUUGAGGUGUACUGUUAAGUCAGCGAACGAGCGCAACCCUCAUCCUGUGUUGUUUUUUCACAGGAGACUGCCGCCUCCAAGGCGGAGGAAGGUGGGGAUGACGUCAAAUCAGCGUGGCCCUUAUGCCUAGGGCAACACCCGUGCUACAAUGGCCGAUACAAACCGUUGCAAACCCGCAAGGGGGAGCCAAUCGGAAAAAGUCGGUCUCAGUUCGGAUUGAAGUCUGCAACUCGACUUCAUGAAGUUGGAAUCGCUAGUAACCGUGAAUCAGCUACGUCACGGUGAAUAUGUUCCUGGGUCUUGUACACACCGCCCGU
rnacentral:rRNA from 1 species